rnacentral:rRNA from 1 species
UACGUAGGUGGCAAGCGUUGUCCGGAUUUACUGGGCGUAAAGAGCGCGCAGGCGGUCGUAUAAGUCGAAUGUGAAAGCCCCCGGCUCAACUGGGGAGGGUCAUUCGAUACUGUUCGACUCGAAGGCAGGAGAGGGAAGUGGAAUUCCGGGUGUAGUGGUGAAAUGCGUAGAUAUCUGGAGGAACACCGGUGGCGAAGGCGACAUCCUGGACCGGUAUUGACGCUGAGGCGCGAAAGCCAGGGGAGCAAACGGG